CAACAUGAGAGUUUGAUCCUGGCUCAGAACGAACGCUGGCGGCAUGCUUAACACAUGCAAGUCGAACGAUU
rnacentral:ncRNA from 1 species